CUUGUAAAUAUAGCUCAGUUGGUAGAGCGUGAGACUCUUAAUUGCAGGUCAUGGGUUUGAGCCCCACUGUCAGGA